CAGGCUUAACACAUGCAAGUCGAGGGGCAGCAUGGUCUUAGCUUGCUAAGACUGAUGGCGACCGGCGCACGGGUGAGUAACACGUAUCCAACCUGCCGUCUACUCUUGGACAGCCUUCUGAAAGGAAGAUUAAUACAAGAUGGCAUCAUGAGUCCGCAUGUUCACAUGAUUAAAGGUAUUCCGGUAGACGAUGGGGAUGCGUUCCAUUAGAUAGUAGGCGGGGUAACGGCCCACCUAGUCUUCGAUGGAUAGGGGUUCUGAGAGGAAGGUCCCCCACAUUGGAACUGAGACACGGUCCAAACUCCUACGGGAGGCAGCAGUGAGGAAUAUUGGUCAAUGGGCGAGAGCCUGAACCAGCCAAGUAGCGUGAAGGAUGACUGCCCUAUGGGUUGUAAACUUCUUUUAUAAAGGAAUAAAGUCGGGUAUGGAUACCCGUUUGCAUGUACUUUAUGAAUAAGGAUCGGCUAACUCCGUGCCAGCAGCCGCGGUAAUACGGAGGAUCCGAGCGUUAUCCGGAUUUAUUGGGUUUAAAGGGAGCGUAGAUGGAUGUUUAAGUCAGUUGUGAAAGUUUGCGGCUCAACCGUAAAAUUGCAGUUGAUACUGGAUAUCUUGAGUGCAGUUGAGGCAGGCGGACUUCGUGGUGUAGCGGUGAAAUGCUUAGAUAUCACGAAGAACUCCGAUUGCGAAGGCAGCCUGCUAAGCUGCAACUGACAUUGAGGCUCGAAAGUGUGGGUAUCAAACAGGAUUAGAUACCCUGGUAGUCCACACGGUAAACGAUGAAUACUCGCUGUUUGCGAUAUACUGCAAGCGGCCAAGCGAAAGCGUUAAGUAUUCCACCUGGGGAGUACGCCGGCAACGGUGAAACUCAAAGGAAUUGACGGGGGCCCGCACAAGCGGAGGAACAUGUGGUUUAAUUCGAUGAUACGCGAGGAACCUUACCCGGGCUUAAAUUGCAGAUGAAUUACGGUGAAAGCCGUAAGCCGCAAGGCAUCUGUGAAGGUGCUGCAUGGUUGUCGUCAGCUCGUGCCGUGAGGUGUCGGCUUAAGUGCCAUAACGAGCGCAACCCUUGUUGUCAGUUACUAACAGGUUCCGCUGAGGACUCUGACAAGACUGCCAUCGUAAGAUGUGAGGAAGGUGGGGAUGACGUCAAAUCAGCACGGCCCUUACGUCCGGGGCUACACACGUGUUACAAUGGGGGGUACAGAGGGCCGCUACCACGCGAGUGGAUGCCAAUCCCAAAAACCUCUCUCAGUUCGGACUGGAGUCUGCAACCCGACUCCACGAAGCUGGAUUCGCUAGUAAUCGCGCAUCAGCCACGGCGCGGUGAAUACGUUCCCGGGCCUUGUACACACCGCCCGUCAAGCCAUGGGAGCCGGGGGUACCUGAAGUGCGUAACCGCGAGGAGCGCCCUAGGGUAAAACUGGUGACUGGGGCUAAGUC
rnacentral:rRNA from 1 species